rnacentral:rRNA from 1 species
UCGACGGUGAGGGGUGAAAGCUGGGGGAGCAAACCGGAUUAGAUACCCGGGUAGUCCCAGCUGUAAACGAUGCAAACUCGAUGAUGCGUUGGCUUAUUGCUAGCGCAGUGUCGCAGGGAAGCCGUUAAGUUUGCCGCCUGGGAAGUACGUACGCAAGUAUGAAACUUAAAGGAAUUGGCGGGGGAGCACCACAAGGGGUGAAGCCUGCGGUUCAAUUGGAGUCAACGCCUGAAACCUUACCCGGAGAGACAGCAGAAUGAAGGUCAAGCUGAAGACUUUACCAGACAAGCUGAGAGGUGGUGCAUGGCCGUCGCCAGCUCGUGCCGUGAGAUGUCCUGUUAAGUCAGGUAACGAGCGAGAUCCCUGCCUCUAGUUGCCACCAUUACUCUCAGGAGUAGUGGGGCGAAUUAGCGGGACCGCCGCAGUUAAUGCGGAGGAAGGAAGGGGCCACGGCAGGUCAGUAUGCCCCGAAACUCUGGGGCCACACGCGGGCUGCAAUGGUAACGACAAUUGGUUUCGAAUCCGAAAGGAUGAGGUAAUCCUCAAACGUUACCACAGUUAUGACUGAGGGCUGCAACUCGCCCUCACGAAUAUGGAAUCCCUAGUAACUGCGUGUCAUUAUCGCGCGGUGAAUACGUCCCUGCUCCUUGCACACACCGCCCGU